ACUGAACUAAAGGGGCAGAGCCAGGAUGUGAGCCCAGUUCUGACAGACAAGUCUGUGCUCUCCACCGCUACUCCUACUCGUCUCUGAGCAACAGGACUGUGGCUGCCAUCCAUACCUGACGUGGCCAGUAGCUGGGUGACACUGGCAGAAACAACAGUAGAGAAGCUUUGGGAUCCCACUGAAAGUACCUACAGAAAGAAGAGCUGGAGUUUCCUCCUUCCUCAGAGGAAAGUGGAAGUCAUAUACAUUGAGUAUGCCUGACAAAGAUAAUUUGGAAAUCAAGCCACACCUGGAAGAGAAGUGGAAAAAGCUGGGAGGUGAAGUGAUACGAAGCCCUACAUCCUGGUGACCUAAACCUAAACCCCAAUGAACAGACACUGCCACAGGUCUGCUGCC